rnacentral:rRNA from 1 species
GAGGAUGCUUCGGGCGCGACCGCGGUCCAAGUCCCCUGGAACGGGGCGUCGUAGAGGGUGAGAAUCCCGUCUCCGGCCGGCCGGUCUCGCCCGUGUGAAGCUCCUUCGACGAGUCGAGUUGUUUGGGAAUGCAGCUCCAAAUGGGUGGUAAAUUUCAUCUAAAGCUAAAUACUGGUCGGAGACCGAUAGCGCACAAGUAGAGUGAUCGAAAGAUGAAAAGCACUUUGAAAAGAGAGUUAAACAGCAUGUGAAAUUGUUGAAAGGGAAGCGCUUGCGACCAGAGUCGGCCGUGGGGGUUCAGCGGGCAUUCGUUGCCCGUGCAAUCCCCCGCGGCCGGGCCAGCGUCGGUUUCGACGGCCGGUCAAAGGCCCCCGGAAUGUGUCGCCUCUCGGGGCGUCUUAUAGCCGGGGGUGCAAUGCGGCCAGUCGGGACCGAGGAACGCGCUCCGGCACGGAC